GUACACACCGCCCGUCGCUGCUACCGAUUGGAUGAUCCGGUGAAAUCCUCGGACUGAGGUAGUUAUCUAGCAGCAAUGUUAGAUGUUAUUUGGGAAGUUGAUUAAACCUUAUCAUCUAGAGGAAGCAAAAGUCGUAACAAGGUUUCCGUAGGUGAACCUGCAGAAGGAUCA
rnacentral:rRNA from 1 species